rnacentral:rRNA from 1 species
AACGAACGCUGGCGGCAGGCCUAACACAUGCAAGUCGAACGUGAAGCCACCUUCGGGUGGUGGAAAGUGGCAGACGGGUGAGUAACGCGUGGGAACCUACCUGGUAGUACGGAAUAACUCAGAGAAAUUUGGGCUAAUACCGUAUACGCCCCUAGGGGGAAAGAUUUAUCGCUAUCAGAUGGGCCCGCGUUGGAUUAGCUAGUUGGUGGGGUAACUGCCUACCAAGGCUACGAUCCAUAGCUGGUCUGAGAGGAUGAUCAGCCACACUGGGACUGAGACACGGCCCAGACUCCUACGGGAGGCAGCAGUGAGGAAUAUUGGACAAUGGGGGAAACCCUGAUCCAGCCAUGCCGCGUGUGUGAAGAAGGCCCGAGGGUUGUAAAGCACUUUCAGUGGGGAGGAAAGACUCGUCGUUAAUAGCGCCGAGGGAUGACGUUACCCACAGAAGAAGCACCGGCUAACUCUGUG